AAAAUCGAACAUUUUCUGGCCAUGAUUCAUUUGAAAGAGCUUUGUCUUUGAAUUUUUCAUCGAUGCCAACUGUUAGCACCACUGAGCAUAUCGAUGGCCCCUGGCGGAAAGUGAACCUACGGGAAAAACUGAUAGUACACAUGAAUGGCAACACGGUAUACUAAGUGUCAGUGCAGAAGAGGGAAAAACAAAAUAAAAUUAAAACGAGGUGGAUUGAUCUACAUGUGCCAUAGGAAAAAGUUUAAUUAAAACUAAUUUAAUCAUUUCGGAUUAUUAUAUUGGAUUAUCGAGUCGUGAAGGAUACUUGGGAAAUAUAUUGUUCGGAUCGGACAUUGGAAAGGAAGAAAAUUAUUAAAUGUAGGAGAGUUUUGAGCUGUGCGUAAAACGUCUGCUUCAAGAAUAUUUCUUCAAUUUCGAUCAGAACAAAACUCAAAAAUUUAAUUAUGC